UGUAUGGAAGUUCCCAGGCAUGGGGUCGAAUUGGAGCUGCAGCUGCCGGUCUACGCCUCAGCCACAGCAACACAGGAUCUUAACCCUCUGAGCAGAGCUAGGGAUCAAACCCGUAUCCUCAUGGAUACUAGUCGGGUUUCUUUCCACUGAGCCGCAAAGGAACUCCUUCAGUCUAUAAAAAUGUUGAUGGCAAGAAGCUGCAGACAAAUCUACAAAGUUAUGAGCAGAUGGAGGGGACACUAGAAAUGGCCGGGUCCUGAGAGAGCAAAGGACAGGGUCACUCAAUCUCAGGGUAACAGAGUCAGAGGAACCUGGAGUACACAAGAGUAUAGGAUAAAGGAAGAAAGAGUCACACAGUGAAUGGGAAACCUGCAGAAUUCAUUGCCUUAAGUGACUGUAACAAAGCAGAGUUAAAUUCCAGGAGGAGGAGCUCCUGUCGUGGCUCAGGGGAAACAAAUCUGACUAGGAUCCAUGAGGAUGCAGGUUUGAUCCCUGGCCUCGCUCAGCGAGUUAAGGAUCUGGCAUUGCUAUGAGCUGUGGUAAAAGAAGAUGGGAAUAAAAAUCACCUCUAAUUCCACAAGAAGAGAACCACUGUUAACACUCUGGUGCAUUUCUCUCCUUCUAUGAAUGAAAUUUAGCAGAGUCGAGGGCAUACUGUGAAUAUAAUUUCAAUUCCUGCCUUUUUCCAGUAAAGUUCCAUUGUGUUCUAAGAAAGAAGUUCACCCUUAGUGAAUAAACAAAUUAAGUAACGAAAUGAAUAAAAGAAACCCUUCAUGAAGUUAACAAAACAAAACUGAUUAUUCCACUGAGUCCCCACUUCCUCAGCAAAAGAAGAAGAAAAAAAAAUCACUCUUGUUCAGACAAAAAUGGCCUAUAAGAUAGAAACAUUAAAUUUAUUGUGUCCUCCUUGUUGUCAUCAAAUAAGCUCGUUGUGGCUCAGCAGUACUAGCUCAACUAGUCUCCAUGAGGAUGUGGGUUCAAUCGCUGGCCUCGUUCAGUGGGUUAAGGAUCCGACAUUGCCAUGAGCUGUGGUGUAGGUAACAGACGUGGCUCAGAUCCCUCAUUGCUGUGGCUGUGGUGUAGGCUGGCAACUGCAGCUCCAAUUGGACACCUAGGCUGGAAACUUUCAUAUGCCAAGAAUGCGGCCCUUAAAAAAAAAAAGAAAAGAAAGAAAGAAAACCCAUAGUUUUUCAAAUCAACAGAAGAUUUUAUAACUGUAUCUUAUCAUGAAACAAAAAAAUCAAGUUUUAUUGGUCUUGGGGUGAUUUUAUCUUCCAAUCUGCAGGUGAGCCAAACCAUUUAAAAAUGAUUAGUUCACACUCACAGACCAUGACAUCCAAAUCAAAGUCUUAUUUCCACUUUUGUUAUAUUCUGUGACCUAAUCUGUGCAGUAAGCAAAUGGCAUUGCCAAGGACAUAUUCUGUGUCAUGUGCUACCCAGCUGGGAGUUGCCCUGAUGUCUGCCUGCAUCCUGGUGGAGUACUUGGUUUUACAGGUAGGCCCAAGGCCUUGGCUAGUAGAGAGAAGAACUUUUCUUUCUGCUAGUAGGGAAGACUACUCAGGAUCAAGAUUUCUUUAGCAAGAUGCUUUUUUUCUCCCCCCACCUCUCAUACUAGUUCAUACUUCAUUGAACAAAUGUGUCCAGGCCAGGCACUGGGCUGGGUGCUGGGGACACAAAGGGGAAUAACACAGAUGCCGUGCCCUCUACUUCCACAGUGCUGCAGUUUGCCGAGCACCUCCCCAUCCAUUCUCCUGGAAGAGAGAAAGACCACCACCACUGUUUCCACAUUCUAGAUGGUAAACACUCACUGGAGUAUUUUGCCCCAGGUUAUGUAGUGGAAGCACUAGACUCCAAUCUCGUCCAGUGCGCUUGCUAUUGGUGAAUUUCCUCUUAUUGUCAACUGAGGUCUUCUCAAUUAUUUAUAUUCCCUCCAGCACCUGGGUUCCACCUGGUUGCCCAGUUUCUGAGCUAAGAGUUGCCCUGACCUCUAGAUAGCUGCAUAUAUCCUGGUUUCUGGGUGCCUUCCUAGAUUCGGGCCCUGGACUCAAGUAUCUUCCCAGCUUUUCCAACACAAGCGUCAAACCCUAUUUAUUCCUUUCCACAAGGUAGCUCGUUGCUAGCCUCCCCCAGUGUUCAAUCUCCUUUUCACUCUGAAAAACAGAUUUUACCUCCCAACUAUUUCCCAGCUUCCUUUGCAGCUAAAUGUAGCCACAUGACUACGUUCUGGCCACUGGGAUAAAAGAAUGUGCUACUUCUAGGUCUUGCCCUUGAAAUGACUGCAUGCAUGACUCCCUGAUCCUUCCCCUGGGAGAUGGUAAACACUGAAGUUUCCACCUUCAACCACCAAGUGGAAACCACAUGUGGAAGAUACAAGGCUGGGACCACUAUCUACUCUAAACCAGUACAUGAAAAAGAAAUCAGCUUCCACCUGAUUUCAGCCAGAGUUUCUAUGGCUCUCCCUAAGACAGGAAUUUGCUCUACGUCCCAGCUAAUACAAACUUAAGUGGGACCAGUUCCACAUUCUCUUAGCAAAGCCCCUUGCCGCCAAUUAAAUACCUUGGGGGGGGGGGUUGUUCAAAACUAUAUGAGAAAGCAUUCCAUUCUGAUUUAUGUCAUGGAAAACUUUUCAAAAAUGAAAUUACCAGGAUCUCAAAGACGACUUAUGUUCACGUCACAGGAAAAACUGAGAGGGCCCAGAAAUGCAAACCAGCCUCCUGCAGUAAGAGCAAGGGAGAAAGCUCUAGGUGAAAAGGGCACCACGUCCACUCUCCGACAGCAGUUCACUCUAUUCCUAGAAAAGGCACUGAGAGCUGAAAUCGUGCGAACCAAGGCUAAUUUCUCCAUGGAAACAAGGCGAUAAUAAGAGCUUGUGUUUCGAACCGAGAACUUGAUGGUCAACUUUUUAAAGAAAUUACGUCAACUCCAUGUUUUACCAUCUAUUCAAGCCUUGAGACUUUUAAAGCAUAAGGGCUGCUGGUCCAAUAAUAUCCCACAGAAGAUCUAUGUGUAUUCUCUACCAUAAAGGUAGGUG
rnacentral:lncRNA from 1 species